rnacentral:lncRNA from 1 species
CAGCAGGGCGAGGAGCUGCAGCGGGUGCUGGAUGCCAGCGAGAGGGAGGUGCAGCGCUUGGUCACAGCGCAGAUGGAGCUGGAGCGGCGCUGCCACAGCCUGCAGAGCUCCCAGCAAGCGACCAGCACGGAGAACCAGCAGCUGCAGGAGAGCAACCGGGCCCUGCAGCAGCACCUGCAGCACCUGCACCAGCAGCUGCAGCACACCCAGGGCCACCUGAGGACCAUGAGGGCGACAGUGGCCUGGGAGCACAUGGGGGAGCCCGGGGACAGAGUGGUGGCAGAGUUGCCCAUCGUGGUGCCAUUGUCCCCACAGCUGAGUCCUGGGAAUAGCGAGAAGUUCCGCUCCGAGAUGCGGAUCAGGCUGGGAUCCCAGAG